UACGGGGGGGGCAAGCGUUGUUCGGAAUUACUGGGCGUAAAGGGCUCGUAGGCGGCCAACUAAGUCAGACGUGAAAUCCCUCGGCUUAACCGGGGAACUGCGUCUGAUACUGGAUGGCUUGAGGUUGGGAGAGGGAUGCGGAAUUCACGGUGUAGCAGUGAAAUGCGUAGAUAUCGUGAGGAACACCAGAGGCGAAGGCGGCUACCUGGACAAUUGCUGACGCUCAGGCACGAAAGCGUGGGGAGCAAAAGGG
rnacentral:rRNA from 1 species